GGAAGACAGGUGGAGCCUACUCAUUCUUACCACAGAAGAUGUUCAUCAAGCAUCUUACCUGAAGUUACUCACACACCUGCUCGUGGGGAAAUAGAGAAGAUACAUAAUCUGUCCCAUAGCGUUUCAAGUUGCAGUGCAACAACAGUACCACAGUCAGGAGAAGCUGCAAAUUUGGACGACACUGAUGAGAAAGUAAAGGUGCCAGUUGUUCAGCAGAGAGGACGUUUUAAGGUUACAUCUGAGAAUGUUGAAUUAGAAAAGGUGGCCCCAACUCCUAUUCUGCAAAAGAGUCAAAGCAUGCAGGUUAUUAGCUCGCACAAUGUAACUCC